AUGCAGUCGAGCGAACAGAAGGGAGCUUGCUCCCGGAUGUUAGCGGCGGACGGGUGAGUAACACGUGGGUAACCUGCCUGUAAGACUGGGAUAACUCCGGGAAACCGGAGCUAAUACCGGAUAGUUCCUUGAACCGCAUGGUUCAAGGAUGAAAGACGGUUUCGGCUGUCACUUACAGAUGGACCCGCGGCGCAUUAGCUAGUUGGUGGGGUAAUGGCUCACCAAGGCGACGAUGCGUAGCCGACCUGAGAGGGUGAUCGGCCACACUGGGACUGAGACACGGCCCAGACUCCUACGGGAGGCAGCAGUAGGGAAUCUUCCGCAAUGGACGAAAGUCUGACGGAGCAACGCCGCGUGAGUGAUGAAGGUUUUCGGAUCGUAAAGCUCUGUUGUUAGGGAAGAACAAGUGCGAGAGUAACUGCUCGCACCUUGACGGUACCUAACCAGAAAGCCACGGCUAACUACGUGCCAGCAGCCGCGGUAAUACGUAGGUGGCAAGCGUUGUCCGGAAUUAUUGGGCGUAAAGGGCUCGCAGGCGGUUUCUUAAGUCUGAUGUGAAAGCCCCCGGCUCAACCGGGGAGGGUCAUUGGAAACUGGGAAACUUGAGUGCAGAAGAGGAGAGUGGAAUUCCACGUGUAGCGGUGAAAUGCGUAGAGAUGUGGAGGAACACCAGUGGCGAAGGCGACUCUCUGGUCUGUAACUGACGCUGAGGAGCGAAAGCGUGGGGAGCGAACAGGAUUAGAUACCCUGGUAGUCCACGCCGUAAACGAUGAGUGCUAAGUGUUAGGGGGUUUCCGCCCCUUAGUGCUGCAGCUAACGCAUUAAGCACUCCGCCUGGGGAGUACGGUCGCAAGACUGAAACUCAAAGGAAUUGACGGGGGCCCGCACAAGCGGUGGAGCAUGUGGUUUAAUUCGAAGCAACGCGAAGAACCUUACCAGGUCUUGACAUCCUCUGACAACCCUAGAGAUAGGGCUUUCCCUUCGGGGACAGAGUGACAGGUGGUGCAUGGUUGUCGUCAGCUCGUGUCGUGAGAUGUUGGGUUAAGUCCCGCAACGAGCGCAACCCUUGAUCUUAGUUGCCAGCAUUUAGUUGGGCACUCUAAGGUGACUGCCGGUGACAAACCGGAGGAAGGUGGGGAUGACGUCAAAUCAUCAUGCCCCUUAUGACCUGGGCUACACACGUGCUACAAUGGACAGAACAAAGGGCUGCGAGACCGCAAGGUUUAGCCAAUCCCAUAAAUCUGUUCUCAGUUCGGAUCGCAGUCUGCAACUCGACUGCGUGAAGCUGGAAUCGCUAGUAAUCGCGGAUCAGC
rnacentral:rRNA from 1 species